CGAGGCAAUUUGUUCUCAUCAAAGUUACUGGAGAUUUUCAUGCUGAUGAGCCAAACUGCAACCAUUUUAUAAUUAAUAUACAGACGAUGGGUCUAACUGUGGUUGCAAAGAUCCUACACCUCAACGUGGGCUCAUUGCUGACCUCAGACAAACUGCAUCUCUGUUCCAGCACUUCACCGGCCAAAAGCUGGAGAGCUGAUGUUUGGGCCUGAAAGGAGGAGUAUAGCCUUCCUCCUGCCUAUUCCUCUGCAAGGAUGGUGUGAAAAGGCCUGUCCCACUUCCAGGCGAGGAUGAGAGACAUGGAAAAAGCAGAAGGAAAAUUGACAUCUGCCCACAGAAAGCAAGCUCUGUCUGCAUGACCAUCUCUCCCUGAAGGUUCUCUCAGAAAGGAUGGCAGUGUGGGAUCAGCUGGAAGCCAUCACAGAAAUUCACCGAACCAGAUCACCUCUGCGUCUUUUCCUUACCUUUCUCAGAAAAUUUUCCCCCUUUGGGGGGUUCUGCACCAUCAGGGAUACACAAUACUUUGUUUGUGUGAGAUCCUCAGCCUAGAUUGCUAGCAGUUUUUAGCUAC